UACAGAGGGUGCGAGCGUUGUUCGGAAUUAUUGGGCGUAAAGGGCGCGUAGGCGGUGCGGUAAGUCACCUGUGAAAUCUCCUGGCUCAACUGGGAGCUUGCAGGCGAAACUGCCGUGCUGGAGUGUGGGAGAGGUGCGUGGAAUUCCUGGUGUAGCGGUGAAAUGCGUAGAUAUCUGGAGGAACACCGGUGGCGAAGGCGGCAUCCUGGACCGGUAUUGACGCUGAGGCGCGAAAGCCAGGGGAGCAAACGGG
rnacentral:rRNA from 1 species